rnacentral:misc_RNA from 1 species
GAAAUGCGAUAAGUAAUGUGAAUUGCAGAAUUCCGUGAAUCAUCGAAUCUUUGAACGCACAUUGCGCCCCCUGGCAUUCCGGGGGCAUGCCUGUCCGAGCGUCAUUUCUGCCCUCAAGCACGGCUUGUGUGUUGGGUGUGGUCCCCCCGGGGACCUGCCCGAAAGGCAGCGGCGACGUCCGUCUGGUCCUCGAGCGUAUGGGGCUCUGUCACUCGCUCGGGAAGGACCUGCGGGGGUUGGUCACCACCAUAUUUCACCACGGUUGACCUCGGAUCAGGUAGGAGUUACCCGCUGAACUUAAGC